rnacentral:rRNA from 1 species
AGAGUUUGAUCCUGGCUCAGAGCGAACGCUGGCGGCAUGCUUAACACAUGCAAGUCGCACGGGCGGGGGCAACUCCGUCAGUGGCGGACGGGUGAGUAACGCGUAGGAAUCUGUCUCCGGGUGGGGAACAACCGUGGGAAACUACGGCUAAUACCGCAUGAUACCUUCGGGUCAAAGGCGCAAGUCGCCUGGAGAGGAGC